GUGCUCGCUUAGGCAGCACAUAUACUAAAAUUGGAAUGAUACAGAGAAGAUUAGCAAGGCCCCUGCACAAGGAUGACAUGCAAAUUCAUGAAGCGUUCCAUAUUUUU
ensembl:snRNA U6 U6 spliceosomal RNA